GCAGAGAAAGACACCAGCUUUGGCCAAUUAUCCCAGGACCUUACAGGCCUUGAAGCCCAGAGGUGGGCUCGUUCUAGAAACCAGAGGCAAAGGGGGAUCCUGCUCCUGUCUUCAAAUAAGCAAAGAGCGUCUAGCCCGAGUUUACAAAAGGCAGCUAAGGUCCAGGGUGGUUGUGCGGCCUGCCCGCGGUCACAGAGCAGGCAGCACCCAGGAGAGUUCCCAGGACACAUAAGGGCAGUCCGAGAUCCCCGUUUCUCCUGCCGAGACAGUCCGUGCCGACCACCCUCGGGAGACGGACGGACACCUGGGGGCCCCGUCACCUCCCCAAGCCUCAGCGCUUCGUUGGUGACACAGAGGGACGAGCACAUCUCCCACCCCCUAGGCUUGUCCAACCAAUCAGGCCUGCGCAAACGCCCAGCCUGUGACAAACGUUCAGCCGAUACAGCUAUGACUAUUUUUGUUGUUGUUGAACCUGAAGAAAUGGGAACGAAAAAAAUAGCAGAGUGCUUUGCGGGAAGCUGUCUAUUCGCAGCUGGCCACCUUGGCUCCCCCUCCUUUCGGCGCCCAGGGAGGCCCGAAGAUGCCCAGCACUUACCCAGGACACUAAGUUGGAAGUGUUUGGUCUUCUCCCCUACGGCACUGGCUGCAAUGCAGGAGUAGUGGCCAGAACUAGACAGGUCGGCCUGGACGAUCUGCAGGAGAGCUCCGUCUGGAGAAAUGCGAAUUUUCUAGAUGUCUACAAGGCUGCGGUAUUUAAUUGCAUCGCUGCAGGACAAGUCUCUGGAAACAGGCUCCCGUUAUGUGCAGGAACCUCACAGAGGGGGGCCAAGAUGACACCUCACGGGGCUCACAGACUCAUGGAGAAGCAGACAUUGAAGAACUAGGGUGGUUACACGACAGGACAGCCUGGCGGGGUGCCCUUCGGUCACGGUCAGGAUGCGGGGUUCCCUCGAGGGGAACACAGGAGGCACUGGGGGAGAACAGAG